rnacentral:snRNA from 1 species
GGAUGGAAGGACAAUCUGGCAACAGCAUCUGUCACCUAUGGUUUACCAGGGUUGAUUGGGCUGAUCUGCUGGUGAGGCGGAUGUCCCCUGCCUCUGUCACCCUCCUAAAGCUCGGAAGAGAACCAUCUCCUAGGUCAAGGAUGCUGGAGUAACUGAACUCCCCUGCUACAGUCUCUAAAGGAGCUCAGGCAGGCAUGAGGGUGCAUCUUUCCUAGGAAGGUAGCUUAGAGGACAUGAUGUAGCUCCUGAAAAGAUGCUGAGAUCUAGAAUGUGCAUCAUCA